rfam:Schistosoma mansoni strain Puerto Rico chromosome W, complete genome
GCACUGCUUAGGAGUCCCACAAUAGGACGAAACGGCCGUCCAGUGU